rnacentral:misc_RNA from 1 species
UUUCAAUAGCAAAGAAAGAAAACCAAAAUCAUGCUUUGCAAGCUCCCAUUAGCCCUUUGUUUUCUCUUGGGCACAGCCCUGAUCUUUCCCUCUUACGCCCAAGACACACAACAAGAUUAUCUGAGUGCUCACAACCAGGCUCGGGCAGCUGUGAAUGUUGGACCCUUGACCUGGGAUGACAAGGUCGCAGCUUACGCACAGAACUAUGCAAGCCAACGUAUUAGCGACUGCAAUCUUGUGCACUCUGGUGGGCCUUACGGCGAGAACCUGGCAUGGAGCAGUGCUGACCUUUCAGGCACAGAUGCUGUAAAGAUGUGGGUUGAUGAAAAGGCCUAUUAUGAUUAUAAUUCUAAUUCUUGUGCUCAAGGCCAACAGUGUGGGCACUAUACUCAGGUGGUUUG